AUGUACCACGUGUGCAUUCCGGUUCUGAGUGCGCCGUCCAUACCUGCCUGACGACUGCUCAUUACGUUUUGCUCGCU
rnacentral:sRNA from 2 species